UACGUAGGGGGCAAGCGUUGUCCGGAUUUAUUGGGCGUAAAGAGCGUGUAGGCGGUUUUACAAGUCCGCUGUGAAAACUCGAGGCUCAACCUCGAGCUGUCGGUGGAAACUGUAAGGCUAGAGUCCGGAAGAGGAGAGUGGAAUUCCUGGUGUAGCGGUGAAAUGCGCAGAUAUCAGGAAGAACACCCGUGGCGAAGGCGGCUCUCUGGGCAGUAACUGACGCUGAGGAGCGAAAGCGUGGGGAGCGAACAGG
rnacentral:rRNA from 1 species